AUACGGAGGGUGCAAGCGUUAUUCGGAAUCACUGGGCGUAAAGGACGCGUAGGCGGGUUGGCAAGUCAGAUGUGAAAUCCUACAGCUUAACUGUAGAACUGCAUUUGAAACUGCUAACCUAGAGUAUGAGAGGGGGCGAUGGAAUUAGUGGUGUAGGGGUAAAAUCCGUAGAUAUCACUAGGAAUACCGAAAGCGAAGGCGAUCUCCUGGAACAUAACUGACGCUAAGGCGUGAAAGCGUGGGGAGCAAACAGAAUUAGAAACCCUAGUAGUCC
rnacentral:rRNA from 1 species